rnacentral:rRNA from 1 species
UCCUCCGGGAGGCAGCCACUAUGGAAUUUUUCCACAAUGGACGAAAGUCUGAUGGAGCAACGCCGCGUGAGUGAAGAAGGGUUUCGGCUCGUAAAACUCUGUUGUUAAAGAAAGAACACAUCUGAGAGUAACUGUUCAGGUAUGGCGGUAUUUAACCAGAAAAGCCACGGCUAACUACGGCCAGCAGCCGGGGUAUACGUAGGUGGCAAGCGAUGUCCGAUUUAUGGGCGAGAGCGAGCUCAGGCGGGUUUGAAGUAUGAUGGAAAGCCUUCGGCUCGAGCGUCGAAGUGCAUUGGGAAAUGGGAGAGUAGAAGAGGGAAGAGGACAUUCAACUCCGCGGUAGCGGGGAAAGAUAGGUAUAACACCAACGGCAGGGCGAAUGUGGUGUUUUAACUGUCGCUGACGCUGAAGCUCGAAGGGAGGGAUCCAAACAGGAUUCGAUACCGUGCUAGUCCAUACCGUAAACGAUGAGUGUUAAGUGUUGGAGGGUUCCGCCCUUCAGUGCUGCAGCUAACGCAUUAAGCAUUCGGCCUUGGGA